AUGCAACUAAGAAAAAGAAAAGGAACAAGUUAUGACUUAGGAACAACAGAUUGCAGAAAAGACCAAUGCAUUCUCAAAUUAUUUGCUCCUUCUGAGCUAAAAACUCCCUGCGGAGCAAAUGGUCGAGAUGGCCGUAGGAAGGAACACACUAAAACAUGUCAAGAAAAGUGCAUUGGUAAAAACAAAACAAAAAGAAAAUAUAGGAACAACCAGGACGGGGUUAAUGGUUUGGGAGCUGAGAGAGUUGAUGGGAGGGACAACCGGAGAAGCAAACCUAGCAGAAAUUCGCAUCUGCUUUUCCAAGAUGAUGUGCUGCUCGGUGGAUGA
rnacentral:rRNA from 1 species